UACGAAGGGGGCUAGCGUUGUUCGGAAUCACUGGGCGUAAAGCGCACGCAGGCGGAUCGUUAAGUCAGGGGUGAAAUGCCGAGGCUCAACCUCGGAACUGCCUUUGAUACUGGCGAUCUUGGAGUCCGGGAGAGGUGAGUGGAACUCCGAGUGUAGAGGUGAAAUUCGUAGAUAUUCGGAAGAACACCAGUGGCGAAGGCGGGUCUCUGGGCAAUAACUGACGCUGAGGAGCGAAAGUGGUGGGAGCGAACAGG
rnacentral:rRNA from 1 species